GCGAACGUGGCGGAAUUGGCAGACGCACCAGACUUAGGAUCUGGCGGGGAAACCCAUGGGAGUUCGACCCUCCCCGUUCGCACCA
rnacentral:tRNA from 1 species